GCCCCGCAGGGGAGCGGCAGACGGGUGAGUAACGCGUGGGAACAUACCCUUUGGUUCGGAAUAACUCAGGGAAACUUGAGCUAAUACCGGAUACGUNNGUAAGGAGAAANNNUUNNNNNCAAAGGAUUGGCCCGCGUCCGAUUAGCUAGUUGGUGAGGUAACGGCUCACCAAGGCUACGAUCGGUAGCUGGUCUGAGAGGAUGAUCAGCCACAUUGGGACUGAGACACGGCCCAAACUCCUACGGGAGGCAGCAGUGGGGAAUAUUGGACAAUGGGCGCAAGCCUGAUCCAGCCAUGCCGCGUGAGUGAUGAAGGCCUUAGGGUUGUAAAGCUCCUUUGUCCGGGAAGAUAAUGACUGUACCGGAAGAAUAAGCCCCGGCUAACUUCGUGCCAGCAGCCGCGGUAAUACGAAGGGGGCUAGCGUUGUUCGGAAUCACUGGGCGUAAAGCGCACGUAGGCGGACCGUUAAGUCGGAGGUGAAAGCCUGGGGCUCAACUCCAGAACUGCCUUCGAUACUGGCGGUCUUGAGUAUGGUAGAGGUUGGUGGAACUCCGAGUGUAGAGGUGAAAUUCGUAGAUAUUCGGAAGAACACCAGUGGCGAAGGCGGCCAACUGGACCAUUACUGACGCUGAGGUGCGAAAGCGUGNGGAGCAAACAGGAUUAGAUACCCUGGUAGUCCACGCUGUAAACGAUGAGAGCUAGCCGUUGGGGUGCAUGCAC
rnacentral:rRNA from 1 species